UGUCAUCCAGGAAACUGGCAAAACUGUUCGCGCCUUUCUAAAUUUGAAAAUAUGACCGUUUUUAUCGUCUUUCUGAGUGAGGCGGCUGACUGACUGUGUGUGUGUGAGGCAAGCUGCUGCUCGUUGAGAUUGCUCGGUCGGUCCCGAAUUAUUUUAUAUUUGCCUGUUAAAUUUUUAUUUUGAACGAAUUUGAGUCGUGACAUGUCAACGGAGAACACAAACUAGAAUAUGAACACAGGAAGGGUCAGGUGUGAUCUGCGAGGUCCAGCAAACACACGGACAAAAUCAGAGUCAUCAAGGGUCCAGCUGUUUAUUGGCAAUUUGGACAAUACAGAAAAUGCACAAGUGUGAGAGAGAGGAGGGGAUGGCAUCAGAAAGGACCUAGAGCUGGGACUCUUACAAGGAUCACCCAAAGCACAACCACGCUAUGCACAAGGCAGUUGGUUCUAACAUUUUAUCAGAAUUUGAAGAAACAUUUCUACUUAAAAUAUUAAAUGCAUUUCAUUCAAGGCAGCGUUUUUCCUGCGUAAAGAAUUUCCUCUGGCUGUCGACAAAACUAAGACAGACCUAUCCUUUACCACCGACAUGGUUUCUGUUGCAGGUUCCAUUCUCGAACUGUUCUACACAUUCUCACUGCACAAAUGUACAAAUCUCUUGUAAUGAGACACAUUAGUAAAACAUGUUUUCACAGAAACUAUAGAUUUCCACCAAAAUAAAAGAUCAACUGGUUUCAGUCAAAAGAAGUACAAGGGUUUCUCUUGCAAGUGUAGCGCAAAAUAUGCAUGUUACAGUACAAAAACUUUGAGUCUUUAAAUGUUGUAUUUGGAUUUUACAGGUUAACAAUACAUCCAAGCACAAACACUGCAAGCUAAAGUUUGGGAUUAUUUUCAUCUGUUUUAUUCAGUAUGUUUCCAAAAUAAAACUGCUGUUUUACAAUUUUCAGCGUGUGGUAGUUUAUUGAAGUUGAUUGUAAAGCCAUUGCUGCCAGUUCUACAGGUUUUUAACAAUACAUCCAAGCACAAACACUGCAAACUAAAGUUUAAGAUUAUUUUCAUCUGUUUUAUUCAGUAUGUUUCCAAAAUAAAACUGCGGUUUUACAAUUUUCAGCGUGUGGUAGUUUAUUGAAGUUGAUUGUAAAGCCAUUGCUGCCAGUCAUUGGAUUUUUAAACUUUAUGUAUGUGUACAGUGUUGAUCUAAAUGCAAACUAGGUACUAAUUGAACGUACAGUUGUGUAUUCACUCAUGUUGAAAGUACGACGGUGAAACAACGUCGUGUUAUCAAC